GACGAACGCUGGCGGCGUGCUUAACACAUGCAAGUCGAACGGAAAGGCCUGCUUUCCCUUGUGGGUUGCGGGUACUCGAGUGGCGAACGGGUGAGUAACACGUGAGUGAUCUGCCCCCAACUUGGGUAUAAGCCUGGGAAACUGGGUCUAAUUCCCGUUAGGACUGCAGGGUGGUUCCUGUGGUGGAAAACGAUCUUCUAGAGGUUGGGGAUGAGCUCGUGGCCUAUCAGCUGGUGGGUGGGGUAAUGGCCGACCAAGGAGGCGGCGGGUAGCCGGCCUGGGAGGGUGGACCGCCACAUUGGAACUGGGCUACAGCCCAGAGGCAUGCGGGAGGAAGGAGUGGGGGAUAUUGGACGGUGGGCGGAAGGCUGAUGCAGGGACGCGGGGGGGGGGAUGACGGCCUUCGGGUUGUAGUCUUCUGUCGAGCGCGAGGGAGCCACCUGGUUGGACGGGUGGUGACGGUAGUGGAAGAAGAAGCACCGGCUAACUACGUG
rnacentral:rRNA from 1 species